GGGGUGGUCGUUUGCCGCCCUACGAAGUUUGCGCGCUCAUAUCGUGCGAAUUACUUAUUCCUCUUUGUUUUAAGUUGGGAUGUGAUGUGUUUUAUGAAUAUUCUUUGAGAAGCGCAGCCAGCAUGAGGGGUGUGCCAUUCAUCGUAUGUACGUUCAUCUCAAUAUUGGAAACGGAUGCUUUUCCCAACAAUGCGAGGCGCCCUAUUGUUGGAACCACGCACCGGAUUGCAUUUAAGCCAUCACGGAUUCAAGCCUCAAAUUAUAAUGAAGAUACAUUAGACGCGGAUUAUGACGGACAUUCUGGACAAGAUUUU